CCGGUCGCCAUAGGAGGACCCACGCGCCCUCACGCGCCGCCGUCACCGAGCAGCUCCGACGCCACGCGCCGGCGCGUGAGGCGGUUUCCGGCGACUUCGCCGGUCGAUUUUUUCCUGCUCCAGUCUCGCCUCGUCGUGCU